rnacentral:rRNA from 1 species
CGGGACGGGUGAGUAACGCGUGGGUAACCUGCCUCAUACAGGGGGAUAACAGUUAGAAAUGACUGCUAAUACCGCAUAAGCGCACAGGAUUGCAUGAUCCGGUGUGAAAAACUCCGGUGGUAUGAGAUGGACCCGCGUCUGAUUAGCUGGUUGGUGGGGUAACGGCCCACCAAGGCGACGAUCAGUAGCCGACCUGAGAGGGUGACCGGCCACAUUGGGACUGAGACACGGCCCAAACUCCUACGGAAGGCAGCAG